UGAAAAUUUUUCUACGCCUAACUUAUGUAGCUAUACAUAUAUAUAUAUAUACUAGAUUUUCACCCGCGGUACACCGAGGAAACAAUUUAUAUUUUUAAGUUAGUAUAUAUAAAAGUUUACAAAUUAUAUCUAUCUAUAAAAUAUUUUUAUUUUAUAGUUUACAAAUGUUAUUAAGUAACGUCCUGCCAAAUCCGUCCCGUAAAAAAAACCCACUUAUUUUAUUAAUGUUGAUCUUAUUAUGAUAUGUUUAUGAAUCAUUGUUUAAAUAUUUUGUAAUUUUGUAGUAAUUAAAUCCUAUCAAAUUAUAUCUUUACGCUUUUGAUGAUUAUAAUCGAAUUGUUAUAGUCAUGGAGAAAAGCAAUAUCAAAAAUGAUAAUUUGUAGUAAUUAAAUGAUAUUAAAUAUUUUGGAAGUUUUAUUUUAC
rnacentral:sRNA from 1 species